GCAGUAGUGAAAGGUUGUUUACCCCAAGUUUAAUGAUUUUGUUAUUGAGUAGCCUGUACCGGGACGGGGUAAAGACAAAGACAGCUGAGUAUGAGAUGAUGUAAUGAGAUGGUAUACAUGAAGGAAUGUAACUGCUAGAAGCGGCUUCGCCAUUAGAGAAGAUGUAGGGUGCUUAAUAAACGCUUGCUGUAAUUAGUAACUUCUGGCGUGUCGGGCGCUCGGUGAGGAGGAGAGCAGCUGGAGGGAGCUGCUUUGGAGACUUCCCAAGUACCUGGAGGAUGGACCAAGACCUCAGGGAGGUGAUGUUAUGACUUGCAAGUGAACUGGAUUUAAAUGAAGGGAAGAAGAGAGAAGGGAAAAGAGGGAGACAAAGUUGGAACACAAAGUUUUGCAAAGUUGAAAGGAAGGAAGGAAGAAAGAAAGAAAGAGAAAAAGGAAGAAAGAAAGAGAAAAAGAAAGAAAGAAAGAAAGAAAGAAAGAAAGAAAGAAAGAAAGAAAGAAAGAGAAAGAAAGAAAGAGAAAAAGGAAGAAAAAGAGAAAAGAAAAGAAAGAAAAAAGAAAAGAAAAUCAGUGGCAGCUGACUGAAGAAUAGACUGGACUAGAACAGGGAGAAAGACUUGAGGUAGUGCAGUGGAUAGAGUGCUGGGCCUGGAAUCAAGAAGACAUAAACAUAAAUUCAGCCUCACAAUCCCACUUGUGUGAUUUUGGAUAACAGAAAACUACUGGAGUUUCUUGACUUGGAAGGUUGAGAGUUGGAGGGAUUACAUGGUCAGACCAGUAUUUCAAGAUCAGUUGGACAGCUGAAUGGAGGAUGCACCGGAGGGGAAAACAGGCCAACCAGAAGAUGAGGAAACUUUGGCUGAUUGAAGCUGACACUGACUUAGCAGAGUCACAGAGCUUUGAAGGGCAGCGAGGUGGUGCAGUGGAUAGAGUACCACCCCUGAAGUCAGAAGGCCCUGAGUUCAAAUGUGGCUUCAGACACUUAACAAGUCAGAAGGACCUAAGUUCAAAUCUGGCCUCAGACACUUAACAAUUCCUAGCUGUGUUACUCUGGGUUCUCACUCACACACAGUAUUGCCUUUAAAAUGCAAAUCAAAGCCUGGACAUGAGUUCUCCAAGUAAAGUUGGAAGAGAUCUCUGAAAUCUUCUAGUGCAACCCCUACAGAAAAGGAAACUGAGGACCCAAGAGAUUUUGCCUUGCCCAAAGUCCUCUAAACAACUUCAUAGCAUCAUAGAUUUAGAGAUAGAAGGAAUUGUAGAGGACAUCAUUUUCUACAUGAGGAAACUAGGGCUUUGAAAGAUUAUUUCAUUUGACCAAGGUGACAAAGGCAGUGGAUAGAACAUCCAAGCUGAGCUGUGGAAUAUUCUGGCUUCAAGAGAGAAGCCCAGAGAAACUUCAAUGAUCCCAAUGAAGAAGCUGAAUCACAGACUGAACUGUAAGUAGUGAUGCUGGUGCCUCGGGCAAUUAAGUUGAGGGUAGAGGAGAAUCCUGUACAUUGCCCUCUGGUGGGAAAGGAAGAUCAGAGACCGUUAGUCCAAGAGGUUACUUCAGGGAAAGUCUGGUGUGGGGAGCAGAGUGGGGUGGAACUCAUCAUCCUGGAGUAUUGCCACUAGGAAGGAAGUGCUCCAUCUGGCAAUUUCUUAUUUUAAUUAGUUGUUCUUGCUAACUAGACGCUGGGCUUGAUUGUUCCUACAACUGUGAGUAUUGUCUGUACCUUCUAAAUUUCAGUAACCUUAGGCAAAGUCUGGGUCACUCUACCCUAGUUAUAUUUGUAAAGGGUCUAAGUCAUUUGUCCAAGGUCAUAAUCUGUAAGUGUUGGCAAGAUCCAGGUCUAAGGCUUUCUUGAUGCUAUACUCUAUUGCCUUGGUAUAACAUUUAUUAAAUCAGCUGAUUUAAAAUGGAAGUUUUCAUAAUCUAAUGGUUCAUGGUACUCGAUCAGUCCCUCCAGAAGAGAUGGGGACCCUCAAUGAACAAAUAAUAUGCAACUGACUCUGGGCUCUUUUCUGCUACUGAUGUAACAACAACAAGUUUGAUAUUCACUUUAACAUAAGCAAAGGUCAUCCAAACACAGGAAGACAACCAGCCCCAUCCCUUUUCCCUUUCCCCCCUCCCCUUCCUCUCUUUAGUUCUCCUAUCCCCAGAGGGUGGACCCUGCCUUUCCCAAAGGUUUAUUCUCAGAACUCUGGUCUCCCAUAGUCGAACGUGCCACAGAUAUGGGAAUAAAGCUUUCUAGUCAACAGGGAAAACCAAAAAUACAAGCUCAGAUCUUUAAUAAAUUCCUCUUCUCUUUUCCUGACCCAGUUCUUUCUGUCUUUCUGCCAGUCUUGUGGCAGAAAGUCUGCUGUUACUGCAAUUGCUGUUCCAAAUAAAAGUCAAUCCUUCCUGGGAGGAGCCUGAAGGAAGUGGAUUAGAUCUGUCAGCAGACUCUGCACCCAAAAUCUGUAAACGGUUUUUGAGGUUCUCUACAUUUUCUGCCAUCCAUUUGAUCCCAACUGAGACUUCCCCACCCUCAUUCCCCAAAGGCUGGAAAACAGGUUCAUUCAAAAGCCCCAACACGGGGAAUCCCACACAUUGAUAAUGCUAUUGGUUAAUGAGCCAAUUGAAACCUGUAGAAGUGAAUUUUCAAGAAGGAAAUAAAAAUGUUAAAUCCCUGCUAAGAAAAUUAUUGGUAUUUCAUUUCAUUUCAGGAAACCCCAGCAUCUAUAAAUAGAAAGGAAAUACUCAUACUCUUCCCCAUCAUUCUAACCAUAAUAGUGGUAGGAGC
rnacentral:lncRNA from 1 species